AAGCAGUUUAAUCUGGUCUUGGAAUGUUUCAUCAUACUCACUUAAAGGAGAGCACUCACCCUGGAUGUCCAACUUUGGAGGGAGGACAGGUGGCUUUGCACAGAUUAGCCCAUGCAGCAGACGAUAGAAAUUUUUAUGAGGAAAAUCUGAGUGUGUUUAUUUACAGAACCUUUUCCCCCAAGCCCUUUUAAGCCUCCUUUUCUGUCAGCCAACAAGCCCCAAUGGCUAUGCCAAGGCAGGGGUUGCAAAGAACAGUUAUGUGACAAGAUUUAUUAGGAAAUAAACAAGGAGUACCUGAUGACACCAGGCACCCCACAAAACACACAAUACAGGAUUGUCAGGUUCAAUCUCCACUCCAAAGCCAAUGAUAAUGCAAGGCUGGUGAAUGUCUCCACAGUGCACUCCUCCCCUUUCUCAGAUGACGAUGUGUAAAUCUAGCCUUAGGACCUAUGAACUGGAGAACAUUUCAAUUCCAUUUAUCCCUAUUGUUUUGUGAAAACUCUCAUGAUCUUUACAAAUGCACUCUGUGAGAAGCUGAAUGAGGCAUGGAAUCCAAAGGAAAUUCACCUUUCUACCCCUAAAAAUGGUCUUGCUAAGAACGGAAAGAAGCUAUGAAGGUUGCUUUCAGAACUUUUCCCCCACAAAUUCACAGAGUGGAUGGGGGUUUUUGAAAGAAUGUCUUGAUUUAAGUGAGCUGAGCCAGAACUGUGAGAUGCCCUGGAAGAAAGGACUGCUAUGCAAUAAGUUACAACUUUAUGACUGUGUAAAAAUAAAAAAGCAACUCAAACAAUUAUUGUUAUACCUGACACUUAUGUAUGAGUGCACAGAAGCAAUUUGACACGUGUAAAACCACUUGCCA
rnacentral:lncRNA from 1 species